rnacentral:lncRNA from 1 species
UGGUCAAUAAAGAAUCGAUCACUCCUCGUAGGAGGAGAGAACAUCCUAUGUAAUCUCAUAGGAUGAUGACUUUGGUAGUCUCUAACCAAAGUAGAGAUGAAUAAUAGAAAUGAUUUCUACUAGUUCAUCAAUCGAGUAAUCAUCAUCGGAUCGAGACACAUAUAGAUAGAUAUUUAGAUUUGACAUAUUUUUAUACCCAUAUUCUUUCUAGGAUGUUGUAUGAUCGAAGGAUU